AUACAUUGCGCCCUAAGUCCAGUCUCGCCCAGGUGUGGCAGGAGCUUUUACCUGCUCUUCGGCAGUAGCCGGCUGCCACUCAACCCCAUGCCUGACUGAGCUGUGGUAGAAGGAUUGAGGCCAGCACAGAGGAGGAUCAGCAGGAAAUGGUUGUCCUCAUCUAAUCCGUCAGUACCAGACAGUGAACAUCUCUCCCCCAGGAUGCUGAGGGAGGGUCCUGGAGGGAAGGAUGUGGAACUACAGCCUCUGCUCUCAAGAAGCUCAGAUCUGGGCAGGGAACAUCACAUACCAGGGCUGUCUGUCGGGGGGGUGGAGGGCUGGGGGAGGGAUAGCAUUAGGGGAAAUACCUAAUGUAAAUGACAAGUUGAUGGGUGCAGCAAACCAACAUGGCACAUGUAUACCUAUGUAACAAAUCUGCAUGUUGUGCACGUGUACCCUAGAACUUAAAGUAUAAUUAAAAAAAAAAAAAGCUUCAGAUCCCUCCUGGAGCCUCCUAUGAAA
rnacentral:lncRNA from 10 species